GCCUGGCUAGCUCAAUUGGUAGAGCAUGAGACUCUUAAUCUCAGGGUUGUGGGUUCAAGCCCCAUGUUGGGCG